CACCCCCCCCCCCCCCCAGAAAAAACGAUGACAUCCAAGGCUGAACGUAAAUGCGAAUCAAUAAACCAAUAGCUCUAAUCAGAAUAAUUUCUAAAAUUAAUUGACCACCCUUGAGACUUGAUCGAGUGAUCGGAAUAUUCUUGGAAGUAAAGUGAUACCGGAUGAGUGUGCAGCGAUCUUCACACUCGAGUUACUAAAAGAAUUACACGUCAACUUUCGUGAAUGUUGGAAGAGUUCUCGUGACAGAAGUAGACUGCAUAUUUUUUUUGUAAAAAUAGAAAUCCGAAGCAAUUGUACAAUUCUCCACGAUGAAUCCCUGACAUUCCAAGUGCAAAGAGUCCUUGAUAGAUUGAAAACUGGAUAAUGGUGGUGAGACAUGUGAAGGACAAGGUGGAUAUGUCCCAUCGGUGUAGCCAAUGGGCAAACAGAAGACCCACAUAUACCUGGUGCCGGUAAAUUGCCGCUUGCUGAGGCCAUAUCCCUGGAUAUCCAAUUACUCUUCGUCGUCCUGAUGCGUCGUUCUAUCGAGACAAGGUCAUUGCAGGAGGUAAAUGUCACAUGAUAUUGUUACGACUGUUGUACGACCUUGUUCGCGAUAUUUACUUGAAUGUUUCAACAUCUUCAUAGGUGGUUAGGAAACCAUAGAAAUUAUGUGGGAAUUGAAUUGAAUUUUUUGGAGAAACACAUUUUGGUAGUUGAUAGUUCACGGACAGGUCAAUGAUAUAGGCAAAUGUUGGGUAACGAAACGACAAAAAAACUUACAAUUAACAGCUCUGUACUCGGAAACAAUGAAAUUAAUUACCACAACAUUCCCAACAUUUCUCUCUCAACAAUGAUCUUGUCUGGCUCACAACAUCAUCAGCAGAGGGAAACCUCCAUGUAACACUGUCGAUCCAAUCGAUCAACCGAAUAAAAUCGUUAGAUCGUUGGAUGUCUAGACCAUAAAUAUUCAUUCGAUUCAGAUGAAUAUCCUCGCUGACACAAAUGAAAUUAUCCUCAUACCCAGUGCCCACAUCCCCGAGGCUUAUUUAUCGACUGCGUGAGGAGUAAAAACUGCUCAAGGCAGCAUUCCGGAAGAAUUAUAAAUCAUACAGUAGUAUAAAGAAAAAUCUGGCAAGAUGGAUGGCUUUGCUGGAGCCUAAGAAAAUCAUAAAGAUGAUGAUUCCAUUUGGCUUCCGUGUGCUCACUGGUGCUGGGUAGGGGUUUGUGCUGAAGCCCAGCAAUCAAAAUAGCUGGCGGUCAGUGCACCUCAGACCUCCACCUCCUCCAGCCAUUAUCCCCUGUCUUGUUCUGUUCAUCCAUUCAUUUCUCCAGUGAUUUUUUUUCCUCCCAUUGCUGGCUGGUGAAAGGCAUCACACAGAAUUCUCUUCUUCAAUUCUCUCGCACCAAUUUUCAACUUUUUAUUUCAUAAAUUCAUGAAAUGCCUGUGAACCUGGCGCAUUGCCAGUGAAAAAAAAAAAUCAAGGAUUGUUCGAGGGGGAAACACUGAAGAAGGAAGACGAUGCUUCAGUGCAAAAAGCCAUUAACCCAGAUCGUCGUCUUUAAUGGUGAGUACUCGGUGUACAAAGUGGAGCAUGUUAUGUGUGAGGCCCUUCCUCCUUGAAUGCGAGAUGUACUUUUAUGCCCUGAGACCCAGUGAACGUGAGAUCUUUCGUAGGGAGAUGUAGGAAUAAAGAUAGUGGAGUGAUUCCUAUAUUUUUCCUUUAUGAGGUAGAGGGGCUGGGGAUUGUUAUAGUUUUGUGGUGCUCGUGGGGGAGGGCUUUCCUGGCCUUUAUUUGCAGAAAUUAUACUUUAGGGUAGAUAGAGGAUAAUCCUCAGGCAAAUUGAGAAAAUGAGGCGAGUCUUUGGAGAUUUCAUGGUGCAAUCAGUUUCAUGUUUGCAUGCUUGUGAUGCAAAUGUGUAAUUGUAUUCAGAUAUCUCUAUUCGUAAAGAUUAUCCGCAAAUUUGAUGAAGAUAAGCGAUAAUCUCGAGAGCAUGAGAGAAUUUCCCUUUACUUUCAUCUAUUAACAUGUUUUCCCCUUUGCGUGAUAUUGCGCAAGCUAAAUUGCCCCAUUGUUGCUCAUUACUAAUUAUUUCAAUGGAAGUCAUGUGUCGAGUUGAUAAAGACACGUGGGAUUUUCAUUUUAAACUGAAAUAGAUAUGAGAGGCUCCUCGUAAUCAUAUUUUCUUGAAACAUCUACAAAAUCUUUCAUCUACAAGUCGAUGUUCAGCACUCCACCUUUUCAAACAAUAAAUAAAACGAUCCCGCCCCAUGAAUAUAGUUUUUCCAUCUUCCCAAGCCAAAUAAAGGAGAAUAAACGUCUCUAAACUCACAUUCUGUCCAUUAGCCGGUACGUGUAUAGGAACGACUCGCUCAUUCUCCCUUUCACUCGGACAACACAGCCAAGAUCGAGUAAUUGAAACAGCAUGAUUCUCUUCCUCAUCUUCCUCAACCUCAUCCUCGGUCGUUGCACAGUGCACAUAGACCAAAUCGUCUCGUCUCAGUGGUGCAUCGAUACCGUCUUUGGCCGGUAUUUCUCGGUGAUUAUUGCUCAGUGAUGUGUGAAUACGUGGGAUAUUGUUUGUCAUUGAUUGGUGACGAUGAAACCGCUCUCCGUAGCAGUCAGAAGAUGCCACGGAGCCAUUGCUGGGAGAGAAGGUGAAGCCCGCCACUUUGAUUAAUUAUUCACUGACGCUUCAUUGUUUUUGAUAAAUUUCUUUGUCACUGGAUAUUAACUUCACUGCUCAUCAGAAACAAUUCACCGUGGGGUCGCAAUAAGGAGUUUCGUGGGUGUUUCGCUCGUUUCGUUAUUUUUUUUAUUUUUCUAUUUAUGUGCGAGGAAGAAACUGCUCAGUUGUGGACUAUUAGAAUUAAAUUUUUCCUGUAUUGAAGAUCGAUAAAUAUAUAUAUGGCGAAUUUUAAUGCGAA